rnacentral:lncRNA from 1 species
GUGGAAAGACCUCCAUUUCACUUUCAGUUCAAACCUGACAGGAAGAGGAGUUUAUAAAGUAUUUAAACUUAAAUGUAUGACAUCACUCUUAAUAAUUAAAUCAAUAAGAGCUGUUUCAUUUGGUUGUAAUUAACUUGAUAUAGUUUUUUUUAUUAUUAUUAGGCCUAUUGUGCAGUGAGAGGGGUGUUGACGCGCACACAGCGGCAGAUGCUGUAAAUAGGAAUUACUGGCAACGCCGCAGAGUUCACAUGAAGCGCUGACCAAAAUAAAAGUGAAAGCGAACUCUGGCGCAGCAUACGGCGCACACGGGUUCUCCUCUUUGUUCGUUUUUAUCCAACUUUUAACGCGUCUGUUGGACGGAUUCACCUCAGCAGUCAGUCAGCAGUGGAUUGAUAAUGAUGGUGGUUUAAGGGUCGUCAAAAGAUCAAAAGUUAUCAGUGCUCCUCGUCCUCCACGUCUGCAGCAGGAAAAAGAGCAGACUGAUGGUCACCUGCCUCUAAAGGAACUAUGUCUGAAACUGACAGACUUCUACAGGAGAGGAACCUCGCUGCCACUAAUCCCACAAAGCUCAUCUGUUGUUAUUAUAUAGGACAUCAGAGAGUGGGUUGCAUGUAUUUCCUUGGCUUGUGAUAUCACACAUUUGAAGUGUUCAUGUAGAAAUAAUAAAAUAUGAAAAGCUGG